rnacentral:rRNA from 1 species
UCCGUGCCAGCAGCCGCGGUAAUACGGAGGGUGCAAGCGUUGUCCGGAAUCAUUGGGCGUAAAGAGUUCGUAGGUGGUUUGUUAAGUUUGGUGUUAAAUGCAGAGGCUCAACUUCUGUUCGGCAUCGGAUACUGGCAGACUAGAGUGCGGUAGAGGUAAAGGGAAUUCCUAGUGUAGCGGUGAAAUGCGUAGAUAUCAGGAGGAACAUCGGUGGCGUAAGCGCUUUACUGGGCCGUAAUUGACACUGAGGAACGAAAGCCAGGGUAGCAAAUGGGAUUAGAUACCCCAGUAGUCCUGGCCGUAAACGAUGGAUACUAGGUGUUGCGGGUAUCGACCCCUGCAGUGCCGUAGCAAACGCGUUAAGUAUCCCGCCUGGGGAGUACGCACGCAAGUGUGAAACUCAAAGGAAUUGACGGGGACCCGCACAAGCGGUGGAACAUGUGGUUUAAUUCGAAGCAACGCGAAGAACCUUACCAGGGCUUGACAUCUAACAAACCUUUGUGAAAGCAGAGGGUGCUCUUCGGAGAAUGUUAAGACAGGUGGUGCACGGUUGUCGUCAGCUCGUGUCGUGAGAUGUUGGGUUAAGUCCCGCAACGAGCGCAACCCUCGUCGUUAGUUGGUACUAUCGGUAUACUUAUAGUAACCUCUCUAGCGAGACUGCCGGUGAUAAACCGGAGGAAGGUGAGGACGAGGUCAAAUCAUCAUGCCCCUUAUGCUCUGGGCUACACACGUGUUACAAUGGCCGGUACAAUGAGCCGCCAACUCGCGAGAGUGAGCAAAUCUCUAAAAGCCGGUCUCAGUUCGGAUUGCAGUCUGCAACUCGACUGCAUGAAGUCGGAAUCGCUAGUAAACGCAGAUCAGCACGCUGCGUUGAAUACGUUCCCGGGUCUUGUACACACCGCCCGUCACACCAUGGAAGUCGACCACGCCCGAAGUACGUGAGCUAACCGUAAGGAAGCAGCGUCCUAAGGCAGGGUUGGUGACUGGGGUGAAGUCGUAACAAGGUAGCCGUACCGGAAGGUGUGGCUG